AUGCCAGCGGCACCCGGGUACGGGCCGCCGCCGGACGGCUCGCUUGGCGUGGCGGCGUGAGCCCCGGUGGGGCGGUGGCAGGGGGGCCGGCGCCGUGCCGCUGCCGGGCGUGUGCGGCCUUUAGCCUGUGGUGCGGUCGCGAACAGGGGACCGGCACGCGAAUCCCCCCGGCCGCAGGCCCGGGUAUGCUGCGAGGGACGGGGCAAACGGCCCCGCGCCCACAGCCCCACGCCUCAGUGCUUAGCUGGCCACCCGGCGUCCCCCAGGUUGCACCAACAUCAACACCUAGGGCUUGAUUUAACGCCGAUAUUCAAACAUCUGAAUUGCAUUGCAGCCAAACUGAUGCCCGAGUGGAUGGCUGUGGACUGGCAAGGGAGAUGGAACUCCCCUGAAACACGCUGGAAUUCCUUAUUUUCUAAUACAGAAUGGCUGGAAAAUACUGAGCCCAGACUUGCUGACUGCAUCUGCAGAUGAUAGGAGAGAAGCAGUGAAUCAAAGCUAACCACUACAUUUGCAAAUUAUCUGGCUGCCUUAGAAGAGAUCUGUGGAAAGGCCAGAAGAACAUGUGCCUCAGUGAGGGCUGAAAAUAUUACAUUUUCUUUUCAUGUGCUUCCUAGCUACAAUUAUGCCUGCUGCUCUUUCGUCUUCUUUUUCCUUUUUACCUCAUCCUGUGCAGUCAUGUCUUAACUGCAGCUGUAUUAACACUGACAAAAAUGGUGUGUUUUACCUAUUUACUAGCAUCGCUGUAGGUUUUCCAUCGCUGGAGGUCAUUCUACAAGAUAAACGCCCUAACUGGUUGAGAACUUCCCAUAAUUUUAACCUAUUCCCUUCUUCAAAGCCACCAAAAAGAGAAAAGGAAGCAAAAUGAAUGGCUAAAUGGCUUUAAGGAGAGGAAAUGGGGGAAGACAGAACAGGCAAAAGAUGGACGAGAGCUGGAACAGAGUUGUCUAGCAGGAAGCCUGAACAGAACCUGACCAAAUGCAACGGUUUGAUGCUUUAAAUUCUCUUUAUAGUUGGUGCAGUUGCAGUUAUCUCAGCCAUCUUAGCCAAGUCACAACUCAAGUCCUCAGCUAUUCAGUUCCCAACCAAACAUUUUUUAAAGCCUCAUUAUUCCUACCAAAAUUACUUCAUCCAAAUAUAAUUCUACUGUACCAUAACAGCUUUAACUAUAAGUAUGAAGAAAAAAAAAUGUCCAGCGAGGGCACAAUGAUCUGCAUUUGAGAUUUGCCUGGGAAAACAGGUGGCAACUUAUCCUCUGGAGAAGUUCACUCUUUAGCAGCAGGGGGAAAAACAGACGUGACCAUUUUAUUCCUGAAGAAAUGAAAAAUACUGUAAUAAGUAAAGACAGGGGCUUACACAACUUUUUCGAUGAUACAGGGUGGCUCUGACCUGAAAAUUAACAGGCCUUGCAUGGCCGCAGUUGCUUUCUAAUGAGAAAAGAACAGGAAGCAGCCCAUUGUCACUCUAGCCCUGUUACCAGUUUGGUUUUGUCAUGGCACUACAACAGUAGCAGCCACUGUGUAAUAUAAGAACAAAAGACUGCACCUGCUUUUUCACAAACUACUUGUUUUAAAAUGAGACACAGAUAGCAAUACAGGAGCCUAGGGAAACAGUGCAGUACAAGUUGGUAUCAUAUCUAACUAGCAGUACUAGUUAGCAUCUGCUCUCGUGAGACUCGACCUGGAGUACUGCAUUCAGCUCUGGGGCCUCAAACGUAAGAACAUAGACCUGUUGGAGUGAGUCCAGGGCAGGGCCACAAAGAUGACCAGAGGGCUGAAGCACCUCUCCCAUGUGAGGACAGGCUGAGAGAGUUGGGGUUGUUCAGCCUGGGGAAGAGAGAAGGCUCCGGGGAGACCUUCCAGUACCUAAAGGGGCCUGCAAGAAAGCUGGAGAAGGGCGUUUUACAAGGACAAGUAGCAAUAGGACAAGGGGUGGGGGGUGAGGGUGGCUUUAAACUGAAAGAGGGUAGGUUUAGAUUAGAUACAAGGAAGAAAUUCUUCACUUGGAGGGUGGCAAGGCACUGGCAGAGGUUGCCCAGAGAAGCUGUGGGUGCCCCGUCCCUGGCAGUGCUCAAGGCCAGGCUGGACGGGGCUUUGAGCAACCUGGUCUAGUGGAAGGUGUCCCUGCUCAUGGCGGGGGCGGUGGAACUAGGUGAUCUUUACUGUCCCUUCCAACCCAAACCAUUCUGUGACUAUCAACAGCUAAGAAGCUUUUUUAAUACAUAUUGCAGUAAACAGACUGGCAAAAGUUAGGUUAACCUGGACAUCACCUUCCAGACCUACUUCUGCACAUUUGGCUGGCUGGACUCGAGAGGACAAGAUACAAGGCUUAGGAAACCAGCAACAGAAUAAUAGUUGAAUCUCCUAAAUUAAGAUUUUCCAAACCUGUAAAAGUAGCAGGAAAAGGCAGAGCAUCCUGUCCAGAGAAAGAAAGAAAAAAGACAAACAGAUCUAAAGGAGAAAAGGGCUCAAGGGUUAUUUCUUCCUUCAUACAGGAAACCUCCUAAUAACUCCUUCCUAAAAGAGUUGUUUCCUAUAUCAUUAAUCAUCACCUUAUGCUGUACAAAAACAUUUGGAAGCCAUCCAUCAUAGCAUUCUUUCCAUUAUGCUUGAGAUAGCAAAACUGAAUGCAAAUACAAGAUCCUACUUAUAUAUAUUUAGCAUACAUGUAUUACAUUUUUUACUACAAAGCCAUCUGUCUUUGAAGCAAGCUGAAGCAAACCCACUUUCCUGAAAUAGGCCUUUUAAGAGAGAAGGGUCAAGUGAACAACAGCAGAUUAGUUAGGACUGGGAAGUAUUUACCUCCCAAUUCAGAUAAAACCUGGGCUGUUGUUUGCUCUGUACAUAAGUGGAUCACUUAGAUAAAUGUUUUCUGAAGAGCUAUGACUCCAGGGCAGGAGCAGACUUCUGAGAAGGAUUCUUCAAGGAGACCAGGAACACGGAUAGCUCUAUUGCUGAGAAGGGUGAACUGGAAGUCUUAAACAUUAGAGCCAGUGAACAGGAAGCUUAAAAAGAGGCAGGCUGGAUUUGAAGGGUGCAAAGAAACCCUUAAUUUUCCUUGGCAAAGCUGAAAACAGAGGAGAGGCAUGUCUCAAGAGUCUAUGCGUUCUAGGCUGGGGUCAAAUCCCAAGUUUGUUCAGCAUUUGCUUCAUCCUGUGGUUUACUGUGUACUUGUUUAACUUGCUGGAGAAUUAAGAUGUUUUCCUCCAGUUUGGUGGGGGUUGCAUUUCCCUUUAUCUUAGUAGAUAGCAAAAUUCUGUCAGUGAUUUGCAGCUAGUUGGAUUUUCAAGGGAAAUGAGAAGCUUCUCAGUGGUGCCAAGAAACUGCUUUUCCCUUGUUAGCAGAGCGUUUGGAAAGUCAGCAGACUUCAGGAGAUGCAUAAAUUAAAUGAAGUCUCAAGGGCAUGUGUAUGUCACUUCAGGCAUGUUUCUGUUUAUGUGGGGAGGAGUAAAGUUCUGAGGUUUCAGUGAAAUGCA